rnacentral:rRNA from 1 species
GACGAACGCUGGCGGCGUGCCUAAUACAUGCAAGUAGGACGCAGUUGCGAACGGGUGAGUAACGCGUAGGUAACUGCCUAUUAGAGGGGGAUAACUAUUGGAAACGAUAGCUAAUACCGCAUACUAGUAGAUGGACCUGCGUUGGAUUAGCUAGUAGGUAGGGUAAUGGGCUACCUAGGCGACGAUACAUAGCCGACCUGGGAGGGGGAUCGGGCACACCGGGACUGAGACACGGCCCAGACUCCCACGGGAAGCAGCAGUAGGGAAUCUUCGGGAAUGGGGGGAACGCUGACCGAGCAACGCCGCGGGAGUGAAGAAGGGUUUCGGAUCGUAAAGCUCUGGUGUUAAGGAAGCGGUACUUAACCAGAAAGGGACGGCUAACUACGUGCCAGCAGCCGCGGUAAUUC